AAAUGAAGAGGCUUCAUCAAAGUUAAACAAAUCUCCGGUUUUUGACAAGGCUUCAAACCCACUCUGAUUCUCGGCGGCGAUGUUGACGGAGACGGUGGUGGGAUUCGCCGGAAAAGCGUGGGCUUUUAGAUUGUGGGGUUUCUCUGUUCGGAUUAGUAGGGGGUUUGAUUAAGAUGAAUCUCGGUUUGGAAGAGGAUGCGUUCAGAUCUGUUAUGCUCUCCCUAUUCAUCUUUCCAUUUUUUCAGAUCUUGAACUGAUUUUAGUUCUCAGAUCUUGAACUGAUUUCAUCUCGGUUUGGAAGUGGAUGUGUUCAGAUCUGUUGUGUUUUUCGAUCUGGAUUUAUUCGUUAUUGCUCUAUUUAUUUGUUCAAAUUGGAUGUUAUCGAUGGUACUGUUAUGUCCAUCGCCGACUCUCCUCAUAUCAGACCCAGGUCGCCCCAAGGCUUCCCACAUCAAUCUCAUUAGACCCAUUUUCAGUUGCACAUCUAAUUUCGUCAAAAUCAAACUAGUCCUACUCUACUCCAAGCCUAACCUGGUAGCCUAUUCGGAAAUGGAUUCGACAAUUAUAGAGUAAGCUUCCAUUCUUAUUUGAGUAAGUCGAGUUUGGAGAUAUUGUAACUUUUACAAGGUGUGAUUUAGCAUAGAAUUAGAUAACAAACUGUUAUAGGUAUUCAAUUUUUACUGGGAUUCCAUCUAAUUAUUGAGGAUAUGCAUUGGGGCUGCUUAUUUAACUUUCGGAUUUGGUAUUGCUUUCCCUUGGUUUUUAAUUGCAUUGGGUUGUUCUGACUGAUUGAUUUGAUCAGCUUGAAAUUUUUUUGGGUUAGAGAUAACUGCAACAGAGGCUAGGUAGUUCAGUUUGGGCAGCGCACACAAGGUGCUCGACAGUUUGCCUCAGUGAGUCUUGGAAUUCAUUUUGGCUCUCUUAGGCUUAGUUUGGCAUUAUUGUAAUUCAGUCGGGAAAAUUCUAGUCAGCAAUGGAAUUCGGUUGGGAUUGGCUUGGCUGGGGUUUGAUUGUGCCUGUUCUUGGCUGGGGUUUGAUUAUGUUUGUCCCUUAAAGAUUUAUUUAUAUAAUUAUUGUUAGGAUUUAUUUAUAUAAUUGUUUUUGGUCUCCUUGCCGGAUUUUAUGGUGAUGUUUGUGCCGGAUUUUAUGGUGAUGUUUGUGCCUGUUCUUUUUUCCUUGCAAAUUCCUGUUUACCAUGGUGAGAGUAAUUAAGUCUUUAGUCAAAUAAAGUAACGGAGUUAAGACGGAAAACACUUUUUCACUUUAACUCAAAAAGUCGGGAGUUUAAAUGUAGCUUUACUGACUACAGGUGGUUAAAUAGGAAACCGUUCAAACCCCAGGUGGUCAUCUGAACUUAACCAUUUAAUCAAUACUCCUUUCUUGGAUAAGAUGACCAUGUCUGUAUUAAAACUUAUACAUAGUUUGUGUGUGUAUAUAUAUAUAUAUUGUAGCAAGAAAUUCAAAACAAAACUCUGCAAAUAAUUAUAUACUUUACCUUUUUACAACACCACAGUUUGGCAAUGCGAAACUCAUAUUACAAAAUGUACUAGAAAACAACCCAGUUAACACCAUUGACUGGAGCUUCUCUUGUUACAAUUCUCUUAUGAUUUCGUCUAUGAGUUCAUCAACCACAUGUCCCGCCACAUCCUUUAUAAUGUCAUCUGUUUCAACAUAUGCAAACAUCACCUCAUUCCACCCAAAGUCCCACAUACAGUUAAUAUUUCUAUCUGUAAUUUUGAUGUCUCUCUCGAGCAUUUUGAGCAGGUUUUCAGCAGCAUCACAUUCAUCAUGCUCAUUCAUCCCGUAGAAUUUUAACCCUUCAAAAUCCCUAUACAACUGUUUGACCAAAUCAUCUAAAGACCUUACCUUUGUGUAACUGAUGGAUAUCUUCAAGACGAGUUCUUGUUUUCGUCCUUUUCUAUUCAUUACUUCAUAAGCACAGUCUAUUGUGAGCUUAGAGACCUUAUCUUGAUAAAUCUGGUCACUAGCAUGAAGAAUGCCAACUGGUAUGUUGAGUUUGAAAAGUGCCUCUGCUGUGUUCAGGAAUAAUGGACUUUUGAUCAGUAUCUCUUUGAGGUGCUUUUCAUUUUCUGUCAAUAGCUCUUGUGUCCAUGAUGUUCGAGCUUUCUUUUUCUCUUGCUGUGGAGGGUAAGAAAUUUCCAUGCUUCCUGCAACAUCAAAGAUUAAUGUUUAAAUAUUUUUAUUUUCUCCUUUGCAAUUUAAUUAUGAAGCUGAAACCCUUGUUAUAACAUCAUAGAAGAAAUAUGUUGCUGCGGAUAAAUAAAGGCUUAAGUUCAGAAAAAGUGCUUGAUGGGACGAGCUUGUAUUUAUGUAUCAGUUUCUGCAGGUUAGGUGUUUAAGAGCAACUCCAGCAGGCCGGAGUUACGAAAAUCCUAGACUAUAGCAGAUGGACUAUAUUUAGUCCGGCCAUUUUUCCGGCAAUCCAAAAAGACUAAAUCAAGGAACGAAAAUCUCAUGGACUAUAAUUUUAAUAUUAUUAAAUGGGAGAGAGGAUAGAAGAAAAAGAAGAAGGAGAUGAAGAUCUGUGAAGAAGGAGAUGAAGGAGAAGAAGGUCUGUGAAGAAGGAGAUGAAGAAGAUGAAGUGGGAAAAAUAAAAAUAAAAAUUCAAUACAUUAAUCAACUACAAAAAAAAAUACAAUAAUUUGAAAUAAAAAAAAAUAUGUACAAUAAUCAAAACAUAAAAAAAUCUAUAAAAAAAUAACAACGGAUAGAAAUUUUUAGGGUAAUUGGAAAAUCUAUAAAUAUGUACAAUAAUUCAAUACAUUUUACAUCUUUCAAUCAACUACUCCAACAUUUAGCAAUUGUAAGUAUUUUGUUAAUAAUAAUUUGUAUUUUAUUAUAUUUGAUUUUUGUUUUUUAUUGAUAAUAUCUCUUUAAUUUAUUUUUUAGAUGGAAUAUGGUCGUUGGAAUGAAUUUUUUUUGAAUUCAUUGAUUAUUUUAAUAAUUUUAUAUUAUAGUAGUCCACAAGAUAGUCCAUCUGCUAAAAGAUUGAAGACUAAAGGACAUCUGCUGACGUCAUAUGGACUAACUAUAGUCCAGCAGAUAGUCCAUCUGCUGGAGAUGCUGGAGAUGCUCUAAACAAGAGUGGCCUAGAAGUGCUUUGAAAUUUCUUAAUAAUGAGAUAUCAUAAGUCCGUUUUCGGUAAAUAAACGGGGAAAACAUGAUGGAACACACCUUUAUAGAGGAAAAUACUAAUUGACAAGUAUUGCUGAGAGGCAAAAAAUGGGAAGACUGAUUUUCUUCUGCUAGUUAUUUAAGAAACAGAUCAACUUUAGAGAUCUGGGGACUUGUUUAUUUCAAAAUUAAUACUUACCAUCAAGUGCAUUUGCUAAAGUUUCUGGUGACUUCUGUUCUGAAUCUUCUUUGCAGACAGAUGCUUGGCGUUGGUGAUCGUUGGAAUCCUUACAAGCUUCAGAAGUUAUGUCAUGGUUCUGCAUAAUAUUCAAGGAAGGAAAAUGUGAGGAUGCUACAAAUGUUAAGAUGUAAACAGUUAUGCAUAAGAAGCAGUAUGGUAUAGUUUUAAAAACACUUUAUCAAGCCCUCAUUAUCUGUAAUUUCAUAAGCAUUUAAUAAAGUUGUGCUUACAAUGUCAUUCAAAUUUAGAGGGGAUGCUACUUUUGGACUUCUGCAUUCAUAGUCUUGGGAAUCAUUAGAAGUCACCAUCACUUCAGCUACAUCAUGCUUUUGUUGUUCUGCGUUCGGGGGUUGAGUGCUUGCUUCUAAUUUGCUUGAUUCUUUCAUGACCCCUUCUCUUUCUUUGGACCUGUCGGUACUUGGUUGUUCUGUUCCUUUUGAUCCAACGGUCUUUUCAUGUCUUCUCUGCCUCGAUUCUUGAAUAACAUUAUUAUGAUGCUUAGAAGGUCUUGCUAAGUUGUUUAGAGUUCCAUUUCUUCUGCUUACUGGUUCAUUUAUCUUGCGAGGGGUCUUAUGUCUAAGUGUUUUCAUAAUUUCUACCUUCUUCCCCGUGGCAAGGACAUGGGCAGGCUUCUUUUGAAGAAUUGGAAGCACGCUAUCUUUUGCCGUCUCUAUCUGUGAUGCUGAUUCUCUUGGAGAUGCAUUUUCGUCCAAUUUCCCAUUUAUCGAAAUUUUAGUAGAGAUUUCAUCUCCAACAAAAUCUUCAUCAUGUUUGCUAUCUGGCUUCUCUUUCAGAGGCAUUCCACCAAUAGGUUCUGUAGAACUUCUCAUAGCGACUGGUGUAUGGCUCAUAUGUGGAUUCUUCUCUUGUAAUUUUGUUGCAUCAUGCAUGGUUUUCGACGGAACCUUUGAUUUCACUGGACGUCCAUUAUGUGUUGUAGCCUGCAUAAUAGGUUUUGUGUUCUUCUGCUCUCGUCUCUUUGCUUGAUGCUUUUCUUCUUGGAGCUCAGAUUUUGGAAGCAUGUGCAACUGAUGCAAUCCACUGUCUUGCUGGACCUUUUGCUGACUUCUUUGGAUAAGCUGCUCAGAAUUUCUCUUUUCUGUUUGAAGUGCACUUUCCUUGCUCUCUAUUUUUUCUUGCAAUAUAUUUUCAGCUUCGGGGCUCCUAUGUUUCUGUAGUACUUUCUGCUGCAGUUCAUUCUUGAUGACUCGUUCCUUUGUUUCAUUUUCAUCCUUCUCUGUACCUUUUUGUUGCUUGUGCUUUGUAGAAUCCUGUCCUUUCUCCUUUUCUUGACUAUUCUUCUGAUUUUCAGGAAUUUGAUUUGAAUGGCUGAUGCUGCUUCUUGGCUUAUGUAUUGUGCUGGUGGCCUUUUCUGGACCUGAACCUUCACUAGUUCUGUGUGCCCUUCCAAAGUUCUUCCUAUGUGAAUGUUCAUCAGCAACCGCCUCUACAGAGUUCGGUUGAGGAGAUACCUGAACCUUUUCAGCUUUCAGAGAAACUGUGAAAUUUUUAGUUUGUAGUUCCUUGUGGUCUUGUUUCAAAGCAUUAUUAUUGUUACUUAGAGGUGCAAGCCUCUCAGUCUGUCGAGUCUUUGCUUCAGCAUUCUUGGUUGUUGUAUACGUGGUCUUGAAGACUAUUCCUUCUCUUUGUUUCUGGCCUGCUUCUUUUUGUCUGAUUUGUGGAUCUACUCUUUCUGGAUGUACUUCCAGCCCCAUAAGUUUUGCAAUAACACUUGACAUUCUCCCCUUUUCUGGUCUAGCUUGUGAUGAAUUUGAGUGACUCUUUGGUUCAGGACCCCAACUAGCAGGCUGCCAAUGAGUUUCUGAAUUUGAAUCGGUCAGAGUUUGUUGGUGGAAGCUAGGAGUCUUGUCAUGAUAUGUCAGUGCCAUCAAUCUCUGCUUUAGAUCAGUCUUUGUAACCUCUUUAUUGCCAUGGGAAUUCCUUGAGCGCUUAUCAAAGGAGAAUCUUGGCAGGUCAAGUUGUUUGUGUUCAGCCAUCGUCACAUUGUUGGCAUCAUCAUCCUCGUCCUCCUCCAGUAAAGUGAUCCGGUUUUUCCUCUGAGGCUUGAUCAUGUAUUCUGAAGCUUCUUGCAAAUUCACAAGCAUUUUCAAGGACUCUUCCAAAUCCACAGCCCCUUUCAACAGGUCCUUCCCAACUUCUAUCGAAUAUUUAUCAAAGUUAAGGCCAUUUGAGCAGGCCCUUAGAAUCUGGUUUAAAUUUUGUACCCCUUUUGAAAUUUCAUUAAUAUGAAAAUGAGAAAAGGUUGGGAACUGGCUAGUUGAAGUACGGUGUUUGUUGAAGCUGCUGCUUCUGUCCAUAUUCCCAGUAUCAAGUGAUCUCCGUCCAAUUUGCUGCAGGAAAUGCAACAUUGAACUAUUUCCUGAAGAGUCGUUUUUACCAUCUUUCCCCCCGUUGUGAAGGGCGAGCAUGAAGGCCAUGGGCAGACUGCCUCUUUGUUCUGAGCUUUGACCGCUUCCAUAAGUAACCAGCUGUCUUGAUUUUUCUUUAGUGCUUCCACUAGCCCUCCUCUGCGAGUUUGUGUUGGGUCUGAUCUACAAGGAACAAACAAGUUCUCACAAUUUAUUCGACUGUCUGAAGCAUAUUACACAGUAAUUCAGGUAUUUUGAAGAUUGAACGUACAGGUUCUGGUGCUUUAGUUUUUUGAGAUCCUUUGUAGGCCUGUCUAGAAUUUCUUUGCCCAUCUGUUCACCAGAAACAUGACAAAAAGAAAGCAUAUAAUAUAUAAUUGUGCAAAAACAAAUUCAGGGUGAGAAAACACACAUCGGUCAUAUACUCAGUCAGAGUUUGAAUGUUUUAAUGGCUAGCGUGGUCUAUAAUAGCAUUCAGAAAAAUAAUUUAAUUUUUUUUUUUUUUGGAUAAGUUUAUGGGAUCAUGAAUUCUGAACUUUAAACCAUCUAGUUUCACUUCAAUAAGGAGUGAAUAUAUAAAUAUGAAUAGUAAGUACGUGCUAUGGAUGAACAAACACCAUCUUUAUCGUCCAAUACAAGAAUAAAUUGCCGAGAUUAAAACUGUAAUUAUGACAUCCGGUACUAAUUGUAGCGGACGACGGGUACAUCCGCUACUAUUUAAUAGCGGAUGGUUGUAAAUUUGUAAUUAAUUUUGUCCGUUAUUAUUAAUAGCGGAUGACGUUUUUGCAGUUGUAAUCCGGGUCGUUUAUUCCAAUAAUGGAUGCUAAUAAUAGUGUUUGAUCUAUUAUUAUGAUUCACAACAAGUACUUGUUAUGCAUCAUAUAUAUAUAUAUAUAUAUAUAUAUAUAUAUAUAUAUUAUAUAAUAGCCAGUGAUGCCUAAAACUCUAAAUUAAAGUAGUUUUAAUAGAAUCAGGAGGAAAAAUAAUCUUUAUGAGCCUAUAUGGGUAAACUACUUUGCUCCAUAGGUGGAAUGGCUUGUUUUUCAAUUUCUUUUUGGAAAGCAAAAAUGGGGAAAUUGGAUAGACUAUUAAGGUAGAUAAAAAGUAUGUAUACUCCUGCAAAGAUUGAGGAUAUAUUUUGAACCUAAGAAUUCAUAUGCAAGAUCACUAAAAUGACAAUUUCCCUAGUUUCAUGGCACAAUUUUUUCUAGGAAAACAUUAAAUUCAUAUUGCUACAUGAAACAUUAAAACAAACUAAAAAAGAACUGGAUUAAUAUUCAGUUGGAUUAAACAUUAAUAUUCAAGGUUUGAAAUUAAGUUGAUAGAUUUUUUUCUGAACAAUUAAAAUUUCAGUUUCUUGUCAUUUACUAAUUACAUAUUACCUGGAUGUAUAUGUAAGACACUUACCUCUUGCGAUCAUAUUUGAAUUGCUUGAGCUUUGAGAUGCAGCCAAUCGUUCUUUUUUCAGCCGGAGAUCGUUUAGCAGCUUCUGUGCAAAGUCCGACUUUGUUGCCAUGUUGUAAUGUUAGUUCAAAGUACAUGCAAAUCAAACCCAAAGUUAUGAACUCUUUUUGGUUCCUAGCUAAUUUGAGAAACUAUUUGCACAGUUGGAGACAAGGUUGGAUUAUGUUUUGGUUUUCUUUCUUUUUGGCAGGUGAAAUGAUAGGGAAGAAAUCUUGCUUCUCUUUCAGUUGGGAGGGAUCUUUCAGUGUUGGGUAAGGUGGGAAGUGGAGUUCAAAGCAAUAAAAAUAUUGAAUGAUUGAUGUAAAUGUAAGAUCUCUCUCCACUUGAGUUACCUUGACUUUCAUUCUAAUCUAAAGCAAUCACAGAGCUUUUUAUUGUACUUCUGAAGCUAGCAUUUAUUGGAAGCUCUUGAAGUAUUUUGUUUAUGUCGGUACUUGUGGUUCGUAACUGGCCCAUCAAGUUUGGACCAAAGGUUUUGGGGGAGGGCGUAGCCCCACGGUAUAGUACGGUGUUACAAGGGCAUUAUGGGU
rnacentral:lncRNA from 1 species